GAUGAACGCUGGCGGCGUGCCUAACACAUGCAAGUCGAGCGAGAAGCUCAUGACGGACGCUUCGGUUGAAGUCACGAGUGGAAAGCGGCGGACGGGUGAGUAACGCGUAGGCAACCUGCCCUUUGCAGAGGGAUAGCCUCGGGAAACCGGGAUUAAAACCUCAUAAAACCGCAGUGAGACAUCUCACAGUGGUCAAAGAUUUAUCGGCAAAGGAUGGGCCUGCGUCUGAUUAGUUAGUUGGUGGGGUAACGGCCUACCAAGGCGACGAUCAGUAGCCGACCUGAGAGGGUGAUCGGCCACAUUGGAACUGAGACACGGUCCAAACUCCUACGGGAGGCAGCAGUGGGGAAUAUUGCACAAUGGGGGAAACCCUGAUGCAGCGACGCCGCGUGAGCGAUGAAGGAAUUCGUUUCGUAAAGCUCUGUCCAAGGGGAAGAUAAUGACAGUACCCUUGGAGGAAGCCCCGGCUAAAUACGUGCCAGCCGCCGCUGUAAAAC
rnacentral:rRNA from 1 species